rnacentral:rRNA from 1 species
GACGAACGCUGGCGGCGCGCUUAACACAUGCAAGUCGAACGGAAAGGCCUGCUUUCCCUUGUGGAUUGCGGGUACUCGAGUGGCGAACGGGUGAGUAACACGUGAGUGAUCUGCCCCCAACUUGGGUAUAAGCCUGGGAAACUGGGUCUAAUUCCCGAUAGGACUGCAGGGUGGUGCCUGUGGUGGAAAACGAUUUUCUAGUGUUUGGGGAUGAGCUCGCGGCCUAUCAGCUUGUUGGUGGGGUAAUGGCCUACCAAGGCGGCGACGGGUAGCCGGCCUGAGAGGGUGGACGGCCACAUUGGGACUGAGAUACGGCCCAGACUCCUACGGGAGGCAGCAGUGGGGAAUAUGGCACAAUGGGCGGAAGCCUGAUGCAGCGACGCCGCGUGGGGGAUGACGGCCUUCGGGUUGUAAACUCCUUUCGACCGCGAGGAAGCCACCUGGUUGGAAGGGUGGUGACGGUAGUGGUAGAAGAAGCACCGGCUAACUACGUG